AGCCCCCUCCGACUCCGUUUAUCGACCAACCGAAUUUAGCCGAGCAGACUUCUCGUCCGCAGCGAAUAAUCAGUGCAAGCACUAAACUAAAAGAUGCAGAAUGAUGUACAAGUAACUUUUAAUUUCUCUGUUGACUCCACGUUGCUGUUACCGCAUACGAUAUACAGUUCAGUGCUGUGGACAACAAAGAAUCAUAUCCGAUCCGCUAGCGUGAUUGGCCACGAUCUGACAAUUUUUUUCCCAAAUCAAGGAAUCAAUUUUCUUUUCUGAAGUACUCGUGAUUUCUAUGGUGUCAUUAUUUAAUGUGUGAUUAUAUCUUAUAUUAAUUAAUUGUUAAUAAUGUGCGAGAAGAAUAUCUAUUAUUACUUACGAAUAUUUAUAACCACAAAUUUUGAUAUCGAUUUUUCAAUCAAUGAAUAUAAAAUUCAUUAUAAGCACUAUCUUUGGUUAACAAAUCAAUCGCAUGCAUUAAGGUCUAUUCAGACGAAUUUGCAUAGUCGCAUAUAUGAACACGUAUUAAUGUAUAUAAAUAAUACAAUCAAAAUAUAGAACAUGACAAUAUA